rnacentral:rRNA from 1 species
AUACGGAGGAUCCGAGCGUUAUCCGGAUUUAUUGGGUUUAAAGGGUGCGCAGGCGGCCAUUUAAGUCAGCGGUUAAAUCGUGGGGCUCAACCCCAUUCUGCCGUUGAUACUGGGUGGCUUGAUUGCGGUCGAGGUUGGCGGAAUUCGUUGUGUAGCGGUGAAAUGCAUAGAUAUGACGAAGAACACCGAUUGCGUAGGCAGCUGACCAGACCGCAAAUGACGCUCAUGCACGAAAGGGCGGGGAUCGAACAGGAUUAGAUACCCUGGUAGUCCGCACAGUAAACGAUGAAUACUUGUUUUCGGCGAUAUAAUGUCGGAGGCAAAGCGAAAGCAAUAAGUAUUCCACCUGGGGAGUACGCCGGCAACGGUGAAACUCAAAUGAAUUGACGGGG